rfam:Clostridium saccharoperbutylacetonicum N1-4(HMT), complete genome.
GGAAACCCAUUCUGAAAAGAUUAAGUCAAAUCAUUCGGUAGCGAGUUAUGGAGAUAAAUAGGUAACUAUCUAUUUUAAGCGUUGACAGUUAGUUAGUAGGUUGAAUA